UGUGAGUGGCGCUAUUAAUAAUUAUUUGGAGGUGGAUUGUCUUUAAAUGCAAGCGUAUAUUUGAUCCCACCAAUCAUCAAACACAAACAAUUAAUGCAAAAAGUGUUGGUUGUGUUGGAGCACCCUAACUGCAUCUAAUGUACACUAAUUAAACACUACAAGCACAUCACACAAUACUAAGGCAACCUCCAGCCCCAAAGUACCUCUGAUGCCACACAACUUCUCUUAACAAGAGCAGAUGUUGUUAUUGUCCAGUGGUUCUCUCCAGCUGAUGGUUGGACAUCAGGGAAUGGUGGAUUCGAUCUGGGGAUGGAUGGACAGCAAGGUGGCCAGUCUCACUUAUUCCUCAGAGCAAAGCUCUCUGAUGUGGCAGGACAAGCAGUUUAUGUGCAGUUCCAAGUUGGUGCUCAUUGUUAUCACGCUCCAGUGUUGUUCUGCCUGUCUCUAGAUGAUGGUCCUAAUCAACUGUGUCCAGUUGUGACUAAGCAUGCCUGUGGCUGCUGUUCUUUACAGCUAGCAACUUAGUGAGUCCCAGCCUGGCCUGGCAUGUCUAUGGGAGAGGUUCCUUACAAGUGCAUGCUCAUUUUCCCCUCUUAUUGUAUAAUUUUUUAAAGUAUUUUAAAAAUAUGUUUUAGUUGUAGUUGGACACAAUAC
rnacentral:lncRNA from 1 species